CCUACGGGCGGGCAGCAGUGGGGAAUAUUGCGCAAUGGGCGAAAGCCUGACGCGGCGACGCCGCGUGAGGGAUGAAGGUCUUCGGAUCGUAAACCUCUGUCAGCAGGGAAGAACGGUCACUGUGCUAAUCAGCAGUGAAUUGACGGUACCUGCAAAGGAAGCACCGGCUAACUCCGGGCCAGCAGGCGCGGUAGUACGGAGGGUGCGAGCGUUAAUCGGGAUUACUGGGGGUAAACAGCUCGGAGGGGGGAUGUCCAGUCAAGGGGGAAAACCCAGCGGUCAACGGGGGAACUGCCUUUGAAACUGGCGAACUGGAGUGUGUGAGAGGAUAGUGGAAUUCGAGGUGUAGGAGUGAAAUGCGUAGAUAUCUGGAGGAACAUCAGUGGCGAAGGCGACUAUCUGGCACAUAACUGACGCUGAGGAGCGAAAGCGUGGGUAGCAAACAGGAUUAGAUACCCUGGUAGUC
rnacentral:rRNA from 1 species